rnacentral:lncRNA from 1 species
CUAUCAUAAAGUAAGACCAAAUCAUUGAGUAUAAAGCUCUUAGGUCGUAGUUUACUAUCGUAGUAACUCUUCCAUCAUUUCUGGGUAGCUUCCAUCAUUAAAAGAAUAAUAGCACAAAUUACAUCCAAUUCUUCCAAUUUUAGCAACUGAUAUUGUACAGAUUCUUUAUCACUCAAUCAUUCAUCGACUAUGAUCUAUAAACUUUGGACUUCCAAUUCGAUAGGUAAGAUUG